CCGAUUGCUCAACUGCUGCGUAGCACGAGUGGAUGACAUGUGGGGCCAGGUAGAGCGACCAAGAGUGGGCCCGAUCGGUCAUGGAGACUGGAAGGCGGUGAUGGUGCAGCGGUGCACCGCGCGAGUGACACCUCGCAUGCGGUGGCCCAUCUGGCAGCCCGCGUGUGCGGCCGCCUCACGUGCGAGCGGCUAUCCCCUCUCUCUCUCUCCCGUAGGCGGUAUCCGCUUUAACGCUGCGUUUACGGAAACCACGAGUUUACGCCUUCACCGACCGUUACGCUGCCGCUUUGCACUUUCCCCUCCCCGUCCCCCGCCGCGCCGCGUGUCCGCGUCGGUGUCGUGGUCAUCCGCCGCCGCCGCCGCCGCCGCUCUCGCAAUGGCGAGGCCGUUGCCGAACCAGACCGUGGCACGGACGUCCGCCACCUCCCUCCGUCACUUCCCUGGGCACUCGAAGCCGUCGCUGCCGCUGUCCGCGCCGGCUCUCCGGAAAGCCGCGGCGGCGCUCCUGCUCGCGGCGGCCGUGGCGCUGCCCUGUGCCGUGCUGUACCGCGCCGCGGUGUUGGACGCGGUCCAACCGGUGCAGGUGGGAUGGGAUCGCGGGCCGUGGUGGGAGCGGGGCCAGCCGCCCCCUGCUGUUGUGGUCCCCGAGGAGGACGGCGACGUCGAUCCCGCUGCGGCCGACGAUCUGGACAGUGACGACCUCAAACUUGAGCAAGUUCUGCAGGAGGCCUCCAUGGAUAAUAAGACCAUUAUAUUGACAACACUGAAUGCUGCAUGGGCUUCUUCAGGCUCGGUCAUUGAUCUUUUUAUCGACAGUUUUCGCCGUGGUGUUAGGACUAGCUCACUUUUGAGACAUCUUGUGAUAAUAACAUUUGAUUGGAAGGCUUACAAAAGGUGUAUGAAGAUCCACGCAUACUGCUUUGCUCUUGCAACCGAGAAUGUGGAUUUUUCUCAAGAGAAGAGGUUUCUGACUGCUGGUUAUCUGGACAUGAUGUGGAAAAGGCUGGAUUUCUUGCGGCUAGUUCUUGAAAAAGGUUACAGCUUCAUUUUCUCGGAUGCAGACAUCACGUGGUUCCGCAAUCCUUUUCCUCAUUUCUAUCCUGAUGGAGAUUUUCAGAUUGCAUGUGAUCACUAUGUAGGCAAUGCAACUGAUUUGGGGAACAUAGCAAACGGGGGAUUUAACUAUGUGAGGUCAAACAAUCAAAGUAUAGAAUUCUACAAGUUUUGGUAUUCUUCGCGACUGAGAUAUCCUGGCUAUCAUGAUCAGGAUGUAUUUAAUUUUAUAAAGCAUGAUCCUUACAUUACAGAUAUUGGACUGAAAAUUAAGUUCCUAAGCACUACAUACUUUGGUGGCAUUUGUGAACCCAGCAGAGAUUUAAACAAGGUUUGCACUAUGCAUGCAAACUGUUGCAUUGGAUUACAGAGCAAACUUCAUGAUCUAAGAGUCAUAAUGGAAGACUGGAGGAAUUAUAUGUCUAUGCCACCAAGCUUAAAAAGAUUUGGGGCAUUGUCAUGGGGGGUACCACAAAAUUGCAGUCUUUCAUUGCUUAACCAGUGAGACAUGCUUUUGGGGGUGCAAACUGUAUAAAACUGUAGAAAAUGUCAAUUUCUGAGCAUAAUUGUCAGAAAGAGAAAAAUACUUUGAAGGGAAAAAGGGGCUACUACAUCAUCAACUUUGCCAACUUUGAUGCCUUCAGUUAGGCCUGCUCAUGGAUUGGAUCCUAAUGGAUUUAAUGGAUUGGAUUUCAGUGUGGGUUGGCUUUGGAUGGGUUGAAAUGGAUUGAUGCAGCUAAUGGGCUGGGGUGGGUUGGAUGGAGAUGUAAAACGGUUUGGAUUGGAUUGGUUUUGGUUAGGAAAGUUUGGGUAGAAAGUGGAUUCAGCCCAUGGGCUUCCACUGGAUUGUCCCCAAAUCACAUUCGUCUUCCUAUGACAUUGACAGCCACGGCACCACCACCACUUCGCUUGACGCCGCCGGUGGCUUGCCACCUUCCUCUCUGCCUCCCACACCCUUCUGUGUCACUACUCGUUGCAACCGCUGGCAGGAGCAUGGCGGCGAGAUCACCACCGGCUCAUCAUCAUCAUCCUGCCGCCGCCGCCGGCGACCUCUGCCCAGCAUGUGGGCCAGCUGCUCUGACUCGCUGUUCGUGCUCGGUGCGGCACCGCUGCUGGAGGGGUGCGUUGGCAUGGGUUUCAACCUCAACCUUGGCCUGCCUGGUCUGGGCCACCAUGUCACCAGCGGCGCUGCAGACGAGGUGGCUGGUAGCUGUCGGCCUCCAUGGCCUUAGCCCCAGAUGGGGCAGCGGAUCAUUGGCACUAACGAUGACGACGUCGUCACCUCUGCUCUGUGGAGACAGCAGCAAAAAUGUGGAGACAUGGAAGCUGGCGGCCGGAGGUAGGGGCGGAGGCAGGCCUAGGGCGGCCUGCCUCCAAAAACUUGCUUAAAUUUUGUUGAUUCACCAUGUAAUUUUUUCAUAAAACUAAUACUCCAUUAGUCGAGCCCUACCUUAGGCCUAGUCUUGUAUAAUUUCUGGCUCCGCCACUGGCCGGAGGAGGUGCUCCCAUGUGGCCGGAGUUCUCUGUGGCGGCGCCGGUGGUCGGCUGGGCGCUGCAACCACAGCUUCUGUGAUACUAAAGUUUCUGUGAUACUAAAGUGGAUAUAUGCAUCCAUGCAUGGAACAUGUGUAUAUUGGUAGUAUACACGCAUGUAUAUGCGCAUGCAUGUAUAUGUAUGUACGUGCGUGAAGAGAGUUGAACCAAGGAUUGGACACUGCGGUUUCAGUCCAUGGAUUUAGAAUUGGUUGAACCCACUUAACUAGAAUGGGUUGGACUCGUUUGGUUCAAAACUUUUUAUGGGUUGGAUUGGUUUGGGGCUUGAAGAAGGAGAAGUGGUCUGGGUUGAAUUGGAAGGAUGCUUGUUACAGAAGUGGGUUGGGGCAGUAAUGGAUUGGAUUUCCACCCAUUAGCACCCCUACCUUCAGUAAUAUUGUGUAUCUUUCGGAACAUAACAUUGGGAAAGGUGCAGGCUGCUUUCUGGUAUCCCUUUGAUUAUUCAUAGUUCUUAUCUCCUUUUUGUUUUAGUUCUAACAUGUUUGUUGAUCUGGAACUGCAGCCAUGCAAAUAUGCGAUUUUAAAUUGCAUAAACUGGUAGAAGUUUCAUCUGCGCGAAAAGCACUGCAAGAAACACAGCUGCAUGACCAUGGCAAGAAUACUUGGCAUCUGAACAUUGGUACGUAUCCCAGCUGUUGCAAGUUUGCAAAAACACAGUACAGCAUAAUGUUUAGGUGCCCGUUUUUCUCUCAUUUUAGCAGACUGAAAUUAUUUGUUAAUAGAUACGGGGGGAUUCCCCCAAUGCUCUAAUGCUUGGUUGCCUGAACCUGUCCAUCUAUAGGGCCAGUCUCCUUCUCCUCGUCUCUCUUAUCUACCUUUCUUCUCUCAUUCUGUCAUUCACAUUACUAAAAGGUGCGAUGAGCCGUCUUAUUUGUUGGUUGGCGUUGUACACUUGUGCAUGCCUUUGUCUAAAGUCUCUCCCUGUCCUUUUGGAACGGUUUCGCUAAAAAAACUUCCAACAGUUUUAUUUUGGGGCAACUUCUGAUUUUCUGGCCAUCUGAUGUGCACGGAGAUUCGUGAAGGCGCGCUGUGGGUCCGGUGGAUCGAACUCAGGGUCCCUGCUUCGCACCAAGCACUCCUUAACAGCUGAGAUAUGCAUGCUUUUCAUUAGUUACAUGUAUUACACUGUAACUUUAGUAUAGUUGCAAUGUAAUUACACUAAAAUUGUACUAUACUUACAUUUGAAAAAUUUUACGCAAUAAACUUGCGACAGAUUUUUAGAUA